UUAUAUGUACAUACCUACAACGUUAAUGCACUAGAUCCCAUUAGAACUCCAUAGUUAAGCACACUUGGGCUAGAAUGGUACUAGGAUGGGUGACCCCCCGAGAAGUCUUAGUGUUUUACAUGCC
rnacentral:rRNA from 1 species